UCUCCGUUGGUGAACCAGCGGAGGGAUCAUUACAGAGUUGCAAAACUCCAAAACCCUGGGGAACGUUACCUAUCCGGUUGCUUCGACGGGCCGGCUGGGCCCCACGCCCGGCGCCCCGCGGCCCCCCGUGUACGCCCGCCGGAGUUAAAGCAAACCCUUAAAUUGCAUAUCCACUAAGAGUCUUCUGUACUAAAUGAUUCAAAGGUUUCAACAACGAAGCUCUUGGUUCUAGCAUCGAUGAAGAAAGCAGCGGACCGGAAUCGCAAAGGUGUAGACCCC
rnacentral:misc_RNA from 1 species